rnacentral:snRNA from 1 species
UCUGUUCUUUUCAGUUUAAUCUCUGAAACGACCUUACGAGGUCUUCAAGAUUAUUCUUAUUUUUGAAACUCGUCGAUGGAUCACUGGGCUUGCUCAUAUCCAUCGGCACAGUGUCGUCUCCCUCACACUACCGGAGAACGUACGCG